ensembl:lincRNA
UAGGGUCCUCGUUCUAAGGCCAGUGGGAAUCCAUCUGAAUUAACACUUUUGUUGCCAUACAGCUCAGGCUGUAACCAGGAAAGUAAAAUUAAUUUCACUUUUCAGCUCAGGCUGAAAGCCAGGAAAGUAAAAUUAAUUUCACUUUUUAGAGUGAAAAGGAUAUUUAAAAUAAGUGGGGCGUUUUAAUACUCGUAAGGUUUUCACCAUCUUUUUCCACUACGUUGGAGUCGCAGGAUAGAGCAACUGGUGAAGAUUAAACCGAAACGCAGACAAAGGCGCCAUCUUCCCUCCCUCCAGCCAGCGCGGCGCAGCCGACGGCCCUGUCGCCAACGCACCCAAUGGGAAGGUUCCAAGACUUCGCGGGUUUGUUUCGGUAUUACCGGAUGUGCUUUUUCUGGGUCUGUACUAGCCCAGGAUUGUUGUCUACAGAAACCUGACUGACCCAAAAAGGCAAACACCCGACAGGAUGUCAGGUUUCGCGCCGGCAACCCCCUCAGUACACGCGUACUUAGGAAAAACCUCUCGCAGCGGCCGCGGCGAAGCUCCCGCCCCAGGGCAAGCUGCAGCAGGAAGUUUCACUCACUGCGGACGUCGCCGGGUCGUCCCGGAGCCAACGGCGCCUCCCGCCGGGAGCAGGGCGGUCUCCCCUCCGCGCGCGGAACCCUCCGUCCACGGCCACCGUGGACCCGCGCCCUCUCCCCACCCGCCCACCUGGACACUCCCCGGUAAACCUCCGCACCGUGGGGCGCGUGUCCGCGGCCUCCCACGUGACUCGCGCGGCCCCCGCCCGCUCCGCGUCCGCCCUCCUCCGGCCUGCGGGGCCUCGGCCCGGUCGGUCAGUUGUCAGCUGCGUGUUGGUAAAUUUCCUGGGGCUGGAGGAGAGUGACUGUCCAGCGCCGCACUGACAGCUGGAAGCCGCGCGGGCCGAAGCCGGGGUUCCCAGCGCAGGGCGCAGAGCUGCGGGGGCCGAGGAAGCCCAGCAGGGGGCGCUGCGUGAGCCCCGCGGUGGGCGAGGCUCCUCCUCCUCCUCCUCCGCCUUCCUCAGGACUCCCUGCCAGUGCUCCCGGGGCGGGGUCCGGGGUGGGGUGGGCGGGUUCUAGGGUAGAAAUGAAGAAGCUCUCUAUUUUUCCAUUGUUGUGAAUUUCUCCCUUAGGCUCCUACUUUGAUAAGUGAGCAUUGCCUGGUCCGGGGAAGUGAAAUAUCACAAAUUAAUUGAAAUUGCAAAGCUUGUUUUACACCGAGAAAAUGAACCCUGUUGCAGAAAGUUUUCCUGCCCAGUUCAGAUCCGUCCGUCAGCAUCUUGGAGCACAUAAUGUCCACACCCUGCAAGUGUCUUAGGAGUUGGUCUGCCUGAACGCUGGUCUUACCUGUCAGUGCUCUCGGCCCGUCAGCUCCUAAACGUCAGCAGGAGGAAGAUGGAGCCUGGUUCAGUGGGCUGCUCUGAGGUUCCUGUGGGAACCAGGCAAACAGCUGAGAAUAGUAUUUAUGAUUCCUGCUACCUCUUUCAUGCUCUAUUAUGAGUUAAAAGAAAAUUUAGAAAUCUCUGAGCAAGUUUUUAAUUAAUUUGCCAAAUAUUCUUAAUUCAGAAGUGCCAUUUGUAGGGUUCAUCUUCCUCUUUGUGGUAAUAACAAAGCAAUGGAAUCACUUUACCGUGUUACUGCUUCAGGUGCAUGAAAUUAGACUGAGGAUUUCCAGUGGGAAGCAGCUGGGAGUGUGAGAAUGAAUCAAAUAAUUUGAAGAUUAAUUAUAAAAACCUGCACAGAGAGCAGAGUUACAGUACGAGCAUAACCCAGGGUUGAAGAAAAAACAAUAUUCUGCAGGACUUGGCCCUUCUCACUCAACUUCAGUGUUUCAACAAUCAACUCUAAAAUGCCAAGAUAAUCUGUAAAGCAUUCCUUUGACUUUGAUAUCAAGCAAAUGCUAAGUCUUUCUCCCUAAUGCACUCUAAAGACCAAUUUCUGAGACCCCAGGGUUUCAAAGAGAGGAAGAGUUUGUGUGCACUCUUUGAAAAGCAGCACUGUGGCCUAAAGGCCCAAAACUGCCUCCUGGAUCUGCAUAAAUUCUGAAAUUUUACAACUUCAGGAUGCUAUUGAGUAAAUGAGGGUGGAACUGGAAUAGGUUUCUUUAUUAAUAAACAUUAAAGGGGCUGACCAGGGUGGAAGAUGAGCACCAAUCCAGGAUGAGUCACAAAGAUCUGGAAUCGGAGAGCUCAGGGCAGGGCAGUUACAAGGUUUUUCUUAGGAAUAUUUAACAGAGGAGUGUGGAGUGGUUACCAUCACAAUGGUAAGCAUACACAAGGGUGAGCAGUUUGGGUUUAACCAGAAAAAAAGAAUAAGGUCAGUCUAGAAUUAACACCACAAUAGUAAGGAUACACAAAGGUGAGGCUAAAUCUAGAGUAAACAUAAACAGGAAUAAGACCUGUUUAGAAUGACCAUCACAAAAGCAGGUCUAGGCUAAAUCUAGCCAGUUUUCAGCAAUUUCAGAUAUUACCUUGACUAUUUUAUAAUAUAAAGCCAUCUAUACUAUGAUUUUGUAACUAUAAUUCUUGUUAAUUCUUAAUCCUCAGUUACAACCUCUCCCUCUUUGCUUUCUCCAGGAAUAACCAGGACGUUGGGUCUUUCUGGCUUCUUCAUGCUGAAAAAGAGACAUCAACAUUAUGGUGUGGAAGAAUGAAGCUGGUGGUCAUUUUGACCUCUGGGUUCCACAGUUUAUCUAGCAUAGGAAUAAUUCAGAGACUUUCUGAAAAAUAAACUUAAGAUGUAAAUUGAGAAUUAUAGGUUUAAAUAACCAUGUUACAUGGGGGAAAUAAUUUUAGAUAGAACCCAGAGUAUUCCUCAGGCUNNNNNNNNNNNNNNNNNNNNNNNNNNNNNNNNNNNNNNNNNNNNNNNNNNCUCUGGAAGUCAAGUCCCACAUUGCCAGAGAGAAUUGUCCCUGGAAGUUCUGUCCCAUGUGGGGGUGGGGGGAAAGUAAUGCCUUAGAAAGGCAGGCCACAUUUGAGUAACAAAGAGGCUCUCUAACGGUAACCCAUAGGCAUUAAUUAUAGUUAUGUUAACUUCAUCAUUGCAGAAAUAAGUUUCAGGAGUGCUCAACUUAGUCACAUGUUUCUUUUUCACAGGUUUUAUUUGUAGCAUUCUUACAAUUCCAAUAAAUUGGUGUU